CAAAAGAGUGGUACUGAGUCAGAGCAUAUACUUGUUCAGGGGCUACUGAAUAAUUAUCUGGAUAUAGAAUAUGUGAAUGGAAAAGACAAGACUAGAAAGCUUCCCAAACAUUGAGGAAGUCUGGCAAUGCAUAUGUCAAUCUCAUUAUGAAUGUGAACAUUGGAAAGUAUACUGCCAAGGUGGAGAAAUAGAGGUAAGGGGUAUAAUCUGUAAGGAAGAAGAUUUCUGCUCUACGUGAAGAGCUGUGGAGAGAGAGGCUGGCAAAGAGCAGGCUGGCCCCUGACACCAGUAGCUGUGUGACCGUGGGAGAAUCAUUUGAACUCUGAGUGUUUCAAGACAAUGUUCUCCAAAUUAUUUUGACAAUCUAUCAGCAAAACAUUUUGUGUAUUUGUAAUUUAUAUGCAUGUAAUACUGUACUAAUAGGUUGAACUAUGAAAUAUAUACAAAAGUAAAUAUUAAAAAGGAGAUAAAGGUGAA